UGAGACACAAGACUGGGGAGGCAAGGCGCAGAUGUGUGAGUCCAGGCCCCAGGACCAGCCCCAGGCUGGUUACCCGUAAGGCAGUGUCACAAUGUGCUCCUGGGACACCCGACAGAUGUUUUUUGGAACUGGCACUGAACUCUUCGUGGAACCCCAAACUCAGCCUCCUACCAAACCAUCCGUUUUCAUCAUGAAAAAUGGAACAAAUGUUGCUUGUCUGGUGAAGGAUUUCUAUCCCAAGGAUGUAAAUAUAAAUCUCAAAUCAUCUAAGAAGAUAGUAGAAUUUGACCCUGCUAUAGUCGUCUCCCCCAGCGGGAAGUACAGUGCUGUCAAGCUUGGUCGGUAUGAAGAUCCAAAUUCAGUGAGGUGUUCAGUUCAACACAACGGUGAAAUGGUGCACUCCACUGAGUUUGAAUUGAACACAACUUCAGUUGAUAAUCAAAAUCAAGUGAGUCCUAAAAACAAUUCUAAAACUUCAGAGAGCUGCCAUAAACCAAGAGUGCAUGCUGAGAAGGUGAACACGAUGUCCCUCACAGUGCUAGGACUACGAAUGCUGUUUGCUAAGAGCAUUGCCAUCAAUUUUCUCUUGACUGCCAAGUUAUUUUUCUUCUAAGGCUGACUGGCACGAGGAAGCUGCGCUCCCAGAAGGAAACCAAAAGCUUGCGAAGACGCUGUCUCCUAGGCUUCGGCCUUAUUUAAACUGCUGCUAAUCAAACCAAUUUCCCGUUAAAGGCAACAACCCCACUUCAUUCUUAGCCUGGUAGAAAACAAAAGUCCUGGGAAUGGGAGUUUAUGGUCCUAACUAUUUUACAUGCUGCUUUAUACAGUGACUGAAAGAUAUAAAAAAUAUAUAAGACCUAUUUUAUUUUAUUCGUAUACCUGAUACACUUUGAAAAUGAUCUUUCAUUCCAUUUUUACUUUCUUUAAUUCAACAAAUAGAAAGAGGGGAGCAACAGGUCACCAACUCCAUUCCCCAUGAGGAAAAUAGUCCAGGAGGAGGAAAACUGGUGUCCCUUUACCUACACAGGGAAGGCUCUGCUCAGCCCAGCACUAGAUUUGUCCCAAACCAGCAUCCUUGUGUUCCUCUCCUGUGGUUUACUCCACCCUCUAUAUUCACACUAGAGAUUUGACAUGGCAGUAAGGGGUGGAGGGCCAAUUUCAGCACUUUCUGCUUUUCCUGGUACUUUACAAAUGAAAUUACAUUUGACUUCCCUAAUACUCUCUAAGCAGGCAAUGGGGUUUUAAAUUCUCAUCUAAAUACUCUCCAUUCUAUUAGCAAAGAUCAGAGUAAAAUACAAAGGAAAGGCACUUCUUUCUGUUAACUGAUUUAACAUACAUGGACUGAUUCCCUCUAAGUCUCAAGCACUGGACUGAGAGAAGAUGAAUAAGAUAUGGGGCCUGCUUUCAAGCAAUUCAUUAUGCAAGUGUGUUUGGAGUGAGGGAUAGGAGUGAGACCUCUAUUUUCCCUGAUAUAUAUAUAUAUAUAUAUAUAAAAUCUUCUGCCUGUCAAUCUAUACCCAGGGAAUUUGAGAUCAUCAGACAGACACUGAUUCUUUUGCACGGGCCUUUAAUGUUGCUGGUUUUCUGCCUUUUGUCUUAGCCCUCAUCUCAGUUGCAUUUAUUAAACAGCAUCAUGUGCCACCUC